AUUAUAUCUGCCAAGACCCUUUUUCCACAUAAGGUCACAUUUACUGGUACUGUGGGUUAGGACUUGGAUGUAUCUUUUGGGGGCCCACAGUUCAACCCAUUAUGUGUACAAAAACCUC